rnacentral:rRNA from 1 species
UACAGAGGGGGCAAGCGUUAUUCGGAAUUAUUGGGCGUAGAGAGCGCGUAGGCGGCCUGGCAAGUGGAAGGUGAAAUCCCUCGGCUUAACCGAGGAACUGCCCUCCAAACUGCUUGGCUUGAGUCCGGGAGAGGUGAGUGGAAUUCCCAGUGUAGCGGUGAAAUGCGUAGAUAUUGGGAGGAACACCAGUGGCGAAGGCGGCUCACUGGACCGGAACUGACGCUGAGGCGCGAAAGCGUGGGGAGCAAACGGG